AUUGAACGCUGGCGGCAUGCCUUACACAUGCAAGUCGAACGGUAACAGGUCUUCGGAUGCUGUCGAGUGGCGAACGGGUGAGUAAUACAUCGGAACGUGCCCGAGAGUGGGGGAUAACGAGGCGAAAGCUUUGCUAAUACCGCAUACGAUCUCAGGAUGAAAGCAGGGGACCGCAAGGCCUUGCGCUCACGGAGCGGCCGAUGGCAGAUUAGGUAGUUGGUGGGAUAAAAGCUUACCAAGCCGACGAUCUGUAGCUGGUCUGAGAGGACGACCAGCCACACUGGGACUGAGACACGGCCCAGACUCCUACGGGAGUCAGCAGUGGGGAAUUUUGGACAAUGGGCGCAAGCCUGAUCCAGCCAUGCCGCGUGCAGGAUGAAGGCCUUCGGGUUGUAAACUGCUUUUGUACGGAACGAAAAGACUCUGGUUAAUACCUGGGGUCCAUGACGGUACCGUAAGAAUAAGCACCGGCUAACUACGUGCCAGCCGCCGCGGUAAAAC
rnacentral:rRNA from 1 species